CUUAAACACAUACGUCGUCGUAUUAUUAUACGUCCCCGGGAAACGCGUGUAAGUAACUAAUAAGUUUCGCGUGUAAACCGCAAUGAGGGAUACUGACGCGUUUCGCUAACUGUUAAAUUACCCGGUCGACGGUUAAUACACGGUGACCCGGUGUGUAUUUCAGUCAAACUAGACCUAAAAAAAAAGGCAAAACUGUAGAAAUCAUCGUGAUUGACGGAUUUCAAUUUUGAAAACGAAUUAAUUCUUACUGGGUUUCCUUACCAGGUUACAUUGGAAAUAAAAAACGUAAUUAUUUUACUGGAAA